AGAUCAUGAUGUGGGCAGUUCCUCAACAAACUCUUGUAUCUUUCCCAUGCCUCAUAAAGUGACUCUCCAGAUUGUUGCUCAAAGUUGGCUAUGGCUUUCUUCAACUU